rnacentral:rRNA from 1 species
GAUGAACGCUAGCGGCAGGCCUAACACAUGCAAGUCGAGGGAGGAGCCUUCGGGCUUCGACCGGCGUACGGGUGCGUAACGCGUAUACAAUCUGCCUUUCACAUAGGGAUAGCCUGAAGAAAUUUGGAUUAAUACCUAAUGGUAUAUAGAUGUGGCAUCACCUUUAUAUUAAAGCUGAGGCGGUGAAAGAUGAGUAUGCGUUCUAUUAGCUAGUUGGAGAGGUAACGGCUCCCCAAGGCGACGAUAGAUAGGGGUUCUGAGAGGGAUAUCCCCCACACUGGUACUGAGAUACGGACCAGACUCCUACGGGAGGCAGCAGUGAGGAAUAUUGGACAAUGGUCGGAAGACUGAUCCAGCCAUGCCGCGUGCAGGAAGACGGCCUUAUGGGUUGUAAACUGCUUUUGCAGGGGAAGAAUAAGGACUACGCGUAGUUUGAUGACGGUACUCUGCGAAUAAGCAUCGGCUAACUCCGUG